rnacentral:rRNA from 1 species
UACGUAGGGUGCGAGCGUUUGUCCGGAUUUAUUGGGCGUAAAGAGCUCGUAGGCGGUUUGUCGCGUCGGCCGUGAAAUCUCCACGCUUAACGUGGAGCGUGCGGUCGAUACGGGCAGACUUGAGUUCGGUAGGGGAGACUGGAAUUCCUGGUGUAGCGGUGAAAUGCGCAGAUAUCAGGAGGAACACCAAUAGCGAAGGCAGCUCGCUGGGACGUUACUGACACUGAGGCGCGAAAGCGUGGGGAGCGAACAGG